GAUCAAAGUGUAGUAUCUGUUCUUAUCAGCUUAGUAUCUGAUACGAUCCCCAUGUGGGAUCUUCGAUAUUAAACUGAUUUUUGGAUCAUGGCGAAGUGCUAGGGGCUUGCUCCACCUUUGCCGCNGAUAGGC
rnacentral:snRNA from 1 species